AUGCGGGGGAAUGGGUAUAAAAUACCACAUGUUAACAAGGAAAGACUUGAGGGUCAUGGGCAGCUACCUCCAAGACUAACAUGCCCUAAAGAGGUUUACACAAAUGCUAUACAACUUAGAGGUAAUGGGGAGGGUUCAGUGAUGAGGCUUGUGCUACUUGAGAUGAGGCUUGUUCAGAUGCUUGAUAUGAGGCUUGUUCAUAUGCUUGACAUGGGAGAUGCUUGA
rnacentral:rRNA from 1 species